UAAUCUCUAGCUCUUUUCGCUUCUGCCAAGGAAAGGUCUGCCAUUGUUUAGAAGUGAAGUUUGUUUUUAUUUUAGCGUAUUACUCAGAAGGGAUCCCUAGCGAGGAGGCCAUGCUGUCUUUAUACUGUGAGUUGACUGGAUACACCCUUCCUCUCCCAAACUGGACAUACUUUUUGGCAUUGAUAUUUUUCCGCGUGGUCGUGAAUAUUCAGACCGUAUUUGCACAGUUGUCUGCUGGUGGUGUUGACUUACCUUUUUCGUUUAAAGGCGUGGAUGACUUGUUGGAGCCUCUUGUACAUCACGCCUGUAAAGUUGUUGGACUCAAGUAACUUGGUCAACUGCGUUUGUGCCUCGCUCAAAAGAUUUUAUGUGUACCGCUUAGAAACGUUACAUCAAUAAAACUAAUAGCGUCGACAGAUCGCUUUGUUUUUGUUGUUACGACUUUGACUUAAUAGUAUACGCUUCCAAGUUAAAUGGCUGCUCACAAUCAUAACGAGAUAUUCAAUUCAAAGAUUCCUCAAUAGUUUUAAAGGAGAAUAAAUGCAACAGAACAUUCAUCUUA